rnacentral:rRNA from 1 species
GUUUAAUUCGACGCAACGCGAAGAACCUUACCUGGGCUUGACAUCCUGUGACCACCCUAGAAAUAGGGCUUUCUCCUCGGAGACACAGUGACAGGUGCUGCAUGGCUGUCGUCAGCUCGUGUCGUGAGAUGUUGGGUUAAGUCCCGCAACGAGCGCAACCCUUGUCCUUAGUUGCCAUCAGAUAAUGCUGGGCACUUUAGGGAGACUGCCAGUGAUAAGCUGGAGGAGGGUGAGGAUGACGUCAAGUCCUCAUGGCCUUUAUGUCCAGGGCUACACACGUGUUACAAUGGGUACUACAAAGAGCAGCAAGACCGCGAGGUGGAGCAAAUCUCAAAAAAGUAUUCUCAGUUCGGAUUGUAGUCUGCAACUCGACUACAUGAAGUUGGAAUCGCUAGUAAUCGCAGAUCAGAACGCUGCGGUGAAUACGUUCCUGGGCCUUGUACACACCGCCCGUCACACCAUGGGAGUCGACAGGGGCAGAAGACGUUGAGCCAACCUUCGGG